AAAACGACUCUCGGCAACGGAUAUCUCGGCUCUCGCAUCGAUGAAGAACGUUGCGAAAUGUGAUACUUGGUGUGAAUUGGAGAAUCCCGUGAACCAUCGAGUCUUUGAACGCAAGUUGCGCCCUAAGCCAUUUGGCCGAGGGCACGUCUGCCUGGGCGUCAAUC
rnacentral:rRNA from 1 species